AGCUUUGCACUGUGGCAGUAUCAUAGCCAAUGAGGUUUAUCUUAGGUGUAAUUAUUGCUAAUUCAAAAUUAAUAAAAAUAUACAGAUUAAUAUAUAAACUAUUUUUCAGAAA
rnacentral:snRNA from 1 species